rnacentral:tRNA from 1 species
AUUUAAAUAGUUUAAUUUAAAAAUAUUAAUUUGUGGUAUUAAAGAUGUAAUUUUUAUUACUUUAAAUU